rnacentral:rRNA from 1 species
AUGAGUCGACCUGAUGGGAUCAACAUCCCCGACGGCAAGUUCUACCUUGGAGAUGCUGGCUAUGCAUGUCGGCCGGGUAUUCUUCCACCCUUUAGGAAAACAAGGUACCAUCUCAAUGAAUUCUCUGGUAGGAACUUUCCUAGGACUGCACAUGAGCUGUUUAAUCUCAGACACUCCAGCCUUAGAGUAACUGUUGAGAGGGCAUUUGGAGCUCUGAAAAAUAGGUUUAAGAUCCUGGAUCAGAAGCCAUUCCACCCAUACUCCACUCAGGUUAAGCUAGUUCUUGCUUGUUGCAUUCUGCAUAACUGGAUCCUCCAGUGGGGCUUUGAUGAACACGUGCCUGAGGAGGAAGAGGUCGAGCCUGACGAUGUUGUUAGCUCUGGCCAUGGUGUGGAGGCAUUUGAUAAUGACGCUUGGAAGAACAAAAGGUUGGAGUGGGCAGAGGCAAUGUGGCUUAACAGAGGUCAGUGCAGAAUUUGA